rnacentral:tRNA from 1 species
UUUUAAAUAAUUUAAUAUGAAAAAGAUAUUUUUACUAAAAUUAGGAUUAUAGAAUCAAUUUUAUUUAAAUCUAAAUACUAUACGAAUUUUUCAGUAAUGAAAAUUAUUGAUAUAAUUAAAUUCUUUAAUUUACAUUGGUAAAAUAAAAAUUAAUGAUUGCAUUUUUAUAAAAUAUAUUAUAUCUAUAUAAAUUAUAUUCAAAAACUAUACUACAAAAUAUUGACUAAUUAGAUUUUAGUUUAAUUU